rnacentral:tRNA from 1 species
GAGGGUAUAACUCAAGUGGUAGAGCACAUGCCUAGCCCGCAUGAAGUCCUGGGUUCAGUUCCCAGUACCUCCA